rnacentral:rRNA from 1 species
CCUACGGGAGGCAGCAGUGAGGAAUAUUGGUCAAUGGACGAGAGUCUGAACCAGCCAAGUAGCGUGAAGGAUGACUGCCCUAUAGGUUGUAAACUUCUUUUAUAUGGGAAUAAAAUGUUCCACGUGUGGGAUUUUGUAUGUACCAUAUGAAUAAGGAUCGGCUAACUCCGUGCCAGCAGCCGCGGUAAUACGGAGGAUCCGAGCGUUAUCCGGAUUUAUUGGGUUUAAAGGGAGCGUAGGUGGAUUGUUAAGUCAGUUGUGAAAGUUUGCGGCUCAACCGUAAAAUUGCAGUUGAAACUGGCAGUCUUGAGUACAGUAGAGGUGGGCGGAAUUCGUGGUGUAGCGGUGAAAUGCUUAGAUAUCACGAAGAACUCCGAUUGCGAAGGCAGUUCACUGGACUGCAACUGACACUGAGGCUCGAAAGUGUGGGUAUCAAACAGGAUUAGAUACCCCAGUAGUC